GCUUUUAAAGGAAAAUAGUCUAUCCAUUGGUCUUAGGCGCCAAAAUCUCUUGGUGCAACUCCUAGUAAAAGCU
rnacentral:tRNA from 1 species